UGGGGAAUAUUGCACAAUGAGCGAAAGCUUGAUGCAGCGACGCCGCGUGGAGGAUGAAGGUCUUCGGAUUGUAAACUCCUGUUAAGUGGGAAAAAAGACACAUACCUAAUACGUAUGUGGGAUGAUGGUACCACUAGAGAAAGCACCGGCAAACUUCGUGCCAGCAGCCGCGGUAAUACGAAGGGUGCGAGCGUUAUUCGGAAUCACUGGGCGUAAAGAGCGUUAAGACGGCCUAUUAAGUUAACUGUUAAAUUACCUGGCUCAACCGGGUGUCUGCAGGUAAUACUGGUAGGCUCGAGUGUAAGAGAGAAAAGUGGAAUUCUCGGAGUAGCGGUAAAAUGCGUAGAUCUCGAGAGGAACACCGGUUGCGAAGGCGGCUUUUUGGCUUACUACUGACGUUGCAGCGCGAAAGCGUGGGGAGCAAACAGG
rnacentral:rRNA from 1 species